rnacentral:misc_RNA from 1 species
GUGCCAGCACAAGCACACGCGCACGGUAAGACCGCCGCUGUGGCCCAGGGCCUCUCCCUUUGCCCCCUUCUCGGGAUUUUGUAUAUUACCGUCUCUCUCUUUCUCGUUUUCCGUGUCGCCAGAGCAGCGCGGUGGACGAUGGAGAGCAACGACCACACGACGGACCUGGCGUCACACGCGCCAGGGGUGGAGGCCGCCCCCAUCGCUGAACCCACACCGCCACUGACCGGUCUGGCGGAAGGCGCAGUUGUCAUGGAGGGCGCAUCGCAUCCGAAGAUGGCCGCUGCCGAACAGAGCGAGGCGACAGCGACGGAGUCGCCGCCCUCUCCUCACUCAACAGGCGAGGCCAAGGCGCAGAACGCUCUGGCGGCACUGAUGAGCGUGCUUGACAGCGAUGAGGAGACUGCGAGGCGCGGCAGCAUCUCUCUGCGCUCCCUGCAGAAGAUGUGCAUGCGCGUUCCGCAGCUCUCCAACGAGCUUACUCGGCCGCAGCGUUUCCAGCUGUACUGCCUGCUUCUUCUCGAGGACAGUGAUGACCCGGCGGUGCCGGGCGGGGCAGCUGGGCAGGAGGACUGGACGACGUACACAAAACGGGCACUGGAGACACACGUGCACGUGGCCAAGCAGGCCGCUGCUCUCUUCCCCACCGCCCUCCACAUCACCACCGACGAACUCGCCGGCCUCUUCUACCGCCUGGGCGCCGACGCGACCUUUUACUUCAAUCCGGUGAUGAUGGAGGUCAUUCUGUGCGUAACGUACGUGGUGGCCGGCAGCCGUUCUACUGACAAGAAUAUGCUGCUGCGCACUCUCUAUCGAAUGCUGUGCGUGCUGCAGAAGGAUUUCAUUGCGUCAGCGGCUUCUCACCUCUACGAGCCUGCGACGACGUCUUUGCUGCGCUUGAUGCUGCAGUUCUACGACCCUCAACUCGCCACCCACAUGGACCAGCAGCAGGUGAACAUCGGCACGUACUUGUUCGACUGGUCGCGGCGCCUGCUGGUUCUGCAGUCGGACUACGACACAGCGCUGAAGGUGCUGGACUGGGUGCUCAUCCUGGGCGACCCCGUCAUGGUCCCCUACGUGGCACACGCCUACCUCAUCACCCACCGUCGGUCGCUCAUGCUAUUGAGCACAAAGCAGGCGCUGACGCAGCAUCUCGACAAGAUGAAGUUCACGCUACCAGCGUGCAAGGCAGACGCGAUCGACCCUGAGCUGGUGGACGGCCGCGCAACCGCCCCGACACCUGUGUGGGGCGGCAAGUCCCUGCUGCAAAACGCCGAUCUGCUCUACCGUGUCACACCGCUGUCGACACAGCGCAUGCUGGCCUUCUGCCUCUACCCGGAUGUCGGUGUGCUGAACAAGACGCCGAAGGAGCUGCAGGAGUACUACGCCAAGACGCCAAGCCUACCGCUGGAGCGGUCCGACAUCGCCUCCGCGUUUGCGAAGCGCGGCGCAGCGGCACAGGGCGGCGGAGACGCGCUCCCCUCGCACGAGUACAUAAUUGUCGACUGCCGUUCACGGGAGAGCUUCGAGUAUGUGCGGCUGCCCACGGCCGUCCACGUAGGGGAUGUGCUGAGCUACCGCCACGAGGACCUCGCGGAGGCGCUGCGGCGGCUCGAGUCCUGCCGCGGGCACCCCCUUGCCCUCUUUGGCACCGGGCGGCCGAUCGUGGAGGAGACGAACUUGCUGAAGGUCUUUGCGCUUUACCUCGUCAACCGACAGGCGUUCCCGUUCGUGUGCAUCGUGCCAGGCGGCUUCAAGACGACGAUUCCGCUGAUCCGCAAUCGCAUCAUUGACGCUAUCAUGAGCCCCGCUGCUGCAGCGGCGCUCGAAAACGCGACGGGCAAGUGGGGUAUCUCUAGAAUCGACUGGGGCCAGCAGGCGUCGAAAACGGCGCACACGAUCUCUGCCGCUCUCAACGAGGUGUCGGGCUAUCUCGCGCAGGUGGAAGGGGCUGAGGUGCGGCAGAAGGCCCAGGAGCUGGGUACAAAGGCGAAGGAGGGCGUGGCGGCGGCCGGCUCGUGGGGCUGGGGGAUGAUGAAGCGCGUCCGCGAGAGCCUCAGUGAAACCAGCGAGCAGGCCCUGACAGCGCUGUCCUCCGUGAGCGACAAAAUCGCGGCAGCUCAGAUAACGACGACCGCCAUCAGCGGUUCAGCCCCCUCUUCUGCAGCCGAGACUGGGCCCUCCUCUGCCACCGCUCCCUCCGGAGCGUCGAAAAGCUCCACGAGUGGCCAAGCGGUCAUACCCACAGCCAUAGCUCAUCCUACCGCCGUGCGACCAUCGCAGCAGCCGCAGCAGGUUUUCUCGCUUGGCGAGGACUGCGAAGAAGAGGAUCUAGACCUCAUCACGUCCAUUCCGGCUAGGCCGCUGCGCGGCACGGUGGUGCCGGAGCCGGCACCGGUGGCGGCCGAAAUGGCGCUUUCAGCCCCUGCAGCGGCGUCCUCGGCGACCGUUGUCUCCGCUCCCGAACGGCGGCACUUGACUGCACCCGCAUCGUCACCUGCCGUGACGGUGGCGGCGGCGUCACUGGAGCCAGUGCCGCCUCCGACGUCCUCGGCUGCUCCAGCGGCAGCCACGGCGGCGCGCGGGGCGUCCGCACCCCAAAUCGCCGCGGACCUCGACGCCGAGUUCGAUGAGCUCUUCGGUGACCUGACCGUGACGCCUGCAGCGGCGUCGCGUGUGGCGGGCCUCUCCGCCGCCGAAGCCGACGGCCUCCCUUGACCAGCAUGCCCUCGUCGAUCCUUGAGGCGCUGCAUCAGUGGGGCGGCUUGGCUGCGUUGUUGCUGAUGUAUGUUUGUGGCGUGUGCACGUGUGUCGGGGAUUCUGUUGUGUUCGUUUCAGCGAGCCCAUUCUCUGCCGUACAGCAGGGAGUAGAGCACCACUCUAUACGGCCUGCCACAGGCCACAUCGCGUGCUGCGACGCAGCCGUGGGCACGCGCGGUACAGCAAUGCGCCGACUCAGUCAUCGGAGUACGGCCUCUGCACCGACGCGACAUAGCGUGAAUCGAAAGUCGCGUGCGUUAGGCGGGCGACAGAGCAAGCCGUCACGACGGGCACGCGAUGGGGGCAUGACCCCGCCGGCUGUGUAAGUGCAGGAGAGCGCCUAGCGGUGCGCUGCGCAUGUGCGGCACCUUUUCUUGUUUGCUGUCGCUGCUGUCCUCACGAGCUAU